AGAGCACCAAUGGGCCUUGAACACUUCCAGGCGUGGGGCAGCCGCAGCAUCUCUGAGCAACCUGUGCCAGCCAGGUGCCAGAGGAGGCAGAAAGCCCUUCCCACCCGGAGCAGAGGCCGCUGCAGCUUUGUGCAGCCUCGUGUCACCGAGUGUGCGAGACAGAAAGGCCCUUCCCGUGGAGGGAUAGCAGCACCCAAAGAUCUUUUUCGGGAAAAGCAGAGCGAUGGAACACCAAAGUAGCCUUCAGUUCUUCAGCAGGUUUGGGAACAACUUGAAGGAGGAGCAGAGCUGGCCUGGUGCCUGCCAGCUCUGCAGGCAGUGGGGAUGGAGAAGCUGCAGUUGUCUGUCUUCUCGGCCGAGUCUUUAAAAAUGAGGCGCUUUUCUGUAGCUCCUUUUCAAGCAUUACAUGAAAGUUCCCCCUAGAAGUCCAAAGGCAGCUGUUUUCUUAGCAGAAGGAAGUCUGGAAGAGGCAAAGCAGGCAAAGACAUCAGAGGAGUCUGGAUAAAAACCUUGGCUAACCUCUUUUUCCUCCCUCUUCCAAACAGCCAAUUUUGAAGCGCUCACCAGAGAUCUGCCAGAGAUCUGGGAGGAAAAGCAGAGCCAAGCACUGAGAACUGACGUGUGAGGACUGCCGCUCCCUCUGCGUUGCUGUGGGACCUCCUGAGCUCCCAUUCCGAUGCUGGGAGUGUUUCUCCUCUCAUCCAGCCAAGCCAGAGACCUCCUAGGGAACAAGCAGCAGGUCAGCAUGAAGACUGAACGUGUAAGAAGACGUGGGGUGAAAUGGAGAAUCUGGCAGGAGCAUCCGACGCACACGUGCACGAGUUUUGCUUUUUGCUUGGAUUUCAACUCAGAAGUUGUAAGGAAUUUGGGAAUGAGAUGGGAUGUUUCAGAAGAAGAGGAAGGAGGAGAAGAGGAAGUUGUUGUUACAGUCCUGGCAAAAUCUUUUGUUCUAGCUAAUAAAAGAAGUUAAAAAAAAAAAAAGCAAAAAAA